rnacentral:tRNA from 1 species
GGAGAGAUGGCCGAGCGGUCGAAGGCGCACGCUUGGAAAGCGUGUGUAGGGAAACCUACCGUGGGUUCGAAUCCCACUCUCUCCGCCA